ACGGGGUGCAGCAGGCGCGAAAACUUCACACUGUGCGAAAGCGCGAUGAGGGAAUCCCAAGUGUUUACUCGUAAGAGUAAACUGUUUCUUUGUUUAAAACGCAGAGAGAGUAAGGGCUGGGUAAGACGGGUGCCAGCCGCCGCGGUAAUACCUGCAGCUCAAGUGGUGAUCAUUAUUAUUGGGCCUAAAACGUCCGUAGCCGGUUUAGUAAAUGCCUGGGUAAAUCGUGUAGCUUAACUAUACGACUUCCGGGUAGACUGCUAAACUUGAGACCGGGUGAGGCUAGAGGUACUCCUGGGGUAGAGGUGAAAUUCUGUAAUCCUAGGGGGACCACCAGUGGCGAAGGCGUCUAGCUAGAACGGGUCUGACGGUGAGGGACGAAGCCCUGGGGCACAAACCGGAUUAGAUACCCGGGUAGUCCAGGGUGUAAACGCUGCUUGCUUGAUGUUAGUUGGGCUCCGAGCCCAACUAGUGUCGGAGAGAAGUUGUUAAGCAAGCUGCCUGG
rnacentral:rRNA from 1 species